GUCGUGUACUGUUUUUUUCCUUUUUGCCCCCAAGUAAUGACCGUAUUCCUCUGCCCUAAUCCGACAACUCCCCUCUAACAUUGGACACUAAGCAACACUCGUGCCGGAUACUCGACAGCCCCUCGUCCGUCCUCCGUGCUCGUUGCCCAGGCCUGGAAAGGGCCGCUCUGCAGAAUGAAGCCCGUGUCCAGCACAUUCGCUGUUCAGGAAGAGGGACGCUUUUCUUUGCUGCUUCCAUCCUUCCUCCAAGACUCCUAAAUGUCGUCGGCACAGAUUGGAUGUUUGUCUCCUUCCAAAAAGUGGGAAAUCCGAGGUUUGAGGCUGACCUGGGGAGCUGCUCCAGAACCAAGAAAGAAGGACAAGAAAGAAGGCCUGGAAAGGAGGAGCAGCUAAGGGCUCCUCUUCCUCGCCAUACUUCCCACCGGGAACCUGGGGGGAGCCGACGUAUGCCAUCAGGACCUUGCAAAGGACCCACCUAA
ensembl:lncRNA